UAUCUGGUUGAUCCUGCCAGUAUUAUAUGCUGAUGUUAAAGAUUAAGCCAUGCAUGUGUAAGUAUAAAGACCAAGUAGGAUGAAACUGCGGACGGCUCAUUAUAACAGUAAUAGUUUCUUUGGUUAGUAAAAUACAAGGAUAGCUUUGUGAAUGAUAAAGAUAAUACUUGAGACGAUCCAGUUUGUAUUAGUACAAAAUGGCCAAUUCAUUCAAUGAAUUGAGAAAUGACAUUCUAAGUGAGUUAGGAUGCCACGACAAUUGUAGAACACACAGUGUUUACAAGUAACCAAUGAGAAUUUCUGAUCUAUCAAUCAGUUGGUAGUAUCGAGGACUACCAAGAUUAUAACGGAUAACGAGGAAUUGGGGUUCGACAUCGGAGAGGGAGCUUUACAGAUGGCUACCACUUCUAAGGAAGGCAGCAGGCGCGUAAAUUACCCACUUUCGAAUUGAAGAGGUAGUGACGACACAUAACUCUAGAGUUGAGUAAA
rnacentral:rRNA from 1 species